rnacentral:rRNA from 1 species
UACGGAGGGAGCUAGCGUUGUUCGGAAUUACUGGGCGUAAAGCGCACGUAGGCGGCUUUGUAAGUUAGAGGUGAAAGCCCGGGGCUCAACUCCGGAACUGCCUUUAAGACUGCAUCGCUUGAAUCCGGGAGAGGUGAGUGGAAUUCCGAGUGUAGAGGUGAAAUGCGUAGAUAUUCGGAAGAACACCAGUGGCGAAGGCGGCUCACUGGACCGGUAUUGACGCUGAGGUGCGAAAGCGUGGGGAGCAAACAGG